UGGGAAUUUGGACAAUGGGCGCAAGCCUGAUCCAGCCAUGCCGCGUGCGGGAAGAAGGCCUUCGGGUUGUAAACCGCUUUUGUCAGGGAAGAAAUCUUCUGAGUUAAUACCUCGGGAGGAUGACGGUACCUGAAGAAUAAGCACCGGCUAACUACGUGCCAGCAGCCGCGGUAAUACGUAGGGUGCAAGCGUUAAUCGGAAUUACUGGGCGUAAAGCGUGCGCAGGCGGUUUGUAAGACAGAGGUGAAAUCCCCGGGCUCAACCUGGGAACUGCCUUUGUGACUGCAAGGCUUGAGUGCGGCAGAGGGGAUGGAAUUCCGCGUGUAGCAGUGAAAUGCGUAGAUAUGCGGAGGAAACACCGAUGGCGAAGGCAAUCCCCUGGGCCUGCACUGACGCUCAUGCACGAAAGCGUGGGGAGCAAAACAGGAUUAGAUAGCCCUGGUAGUCCACGCCCUAAACGAUGUCAACUGGUUGUUGGGAAGGUUCCUUCUCAGUAACGUAGCUAACGCGUG
rnacentral:rRNA from 1 species